rnacentral:rRNA from 1 species
CCUACGGGAGGCAGCAGUGGGGAAUAUUGGGCAAUGGGCGCAAGCCUGACGCAGCAACGCCGCGUGAAGGAAGAAGGAUUUCGGGAUGUAAACUUCUUUUCUCAGGGACGAAGAAAGUGACGGUAGCUGGGGAAUAAGCCACGGCUAACUAAGUGCCAGCAGCCGAGGUAAUACGUGGGAUGCGAGGGUUAUCCGGAUGUGUUGGGUUUAAAGGGUGCGUAGGCGGGCGUUUAAGUCAGAGGGAAAAAUUCGGGGCUAAACCCCGUACGGCCGUGGAAAGUGGGGGCCUUGAGUGGGCGAGAGGAAGGCGGAAUGCGUGGUGUAGCGGUGAAAUGCAUAGAUAUCACGCAGAACCCCGGUUGCGAAGGCAGCCUACUGGCGCGCUACUGACGUUGAGGCACGAAAGUGCGGGGAUCGAACAGGAUUAGAUACCCUUGUAGUC